rnacentral:rRNA from 1 species
UACGUAGGUGGCAAGCGUUGUCCGGAUUUAUUGGGCUUAAAGGGUGCGUAGGUGGUCUAUUAAGUCAGUGCUGAAAUAUCCCGGCUUAACCGGGAGGGUGGCAUUGAUACUGAUGGACUUGAGUGGAGUUGAGGUAGGCGGAAUUGACGGUGUAGCGGUGAAAUGCUUAGAUAUCGUCAAGAACGCCGAUAGCGAAGGCAGCUUACCAAGCUCUAACUGACACUGAUGCACGAAAGUGUGGGGAUCAAAUAGG